AAGGAUUUAAGUUAAACAAACUAGCAGCCUUCAAAGCUGCCAAUAAAGAUCUCUCUUUAAGCCUUA
rnacentral:tRNA from 1 species